rnacentral:lncRNA from 1 species
GCCCCUUUAAGUUUCCAUAGAGAGGCCUCUCUGGUGUCACAUGAUGGACAUGAUAUAAUGAAACAACAUUGUGGAGAGGAAAGCAUUAGGGGAGCCCACGGCUACAAAAACAAGUGAGUGAGAAGAGGUGGGAGGAAGAGAAACUACGCCACCUCCCCUGCAGCCGAGUGCACGCAGCAGCCUGGCGUGACAAGUGGGCGACGCCGGGGGGCAGGGAGCCGGGGUCCUUGGCCCUGGCCGGGGACCCCACCGCCCACCGCGCGGAGGACAACUUUUAGCCGGCAGCCCAGACCAGCGCGGCACCUGUCUCCGGAGUCUCCACCGCUCCUCCCGAUUCAUCCCAGGGAAAUUCUCAAGAAUACGCUCUACAAAUCUACGUGCGCAUCAUUUUCACCUCGCGUCGCGCCCGGGAGGAAGGAACGAGGCAAGGAGCUAAAGCAGCGUGCGUUCAGCCCUGGGGAGAAAAAUCAAGACGUUCCCUUCAGUCCUCC